GACUCCUACGGGAGGCAGCAGUGAGGAAUAUUGGUCAAUGGACGAGAGUCUGAACCAGCCAUGCCGCGUGCAGGAUGACUGCCCUAUGGGUUGUAAACUGCUUUUAUUGGGGAAUAAACCUUUCUACGUGUAGGAAGCUGAAGGUACUCAAUGAAUAAGCACCGGCUAACUCCGUGCCAGCAGCCGCGGUAAUA
rnacentral:rRNA from 1 species